UCAAGCCGGUUGUCGAUUGUCGUUCGAGCUUCAGUUGGCCGCCGGAUCGUAGCCGAGUCGAACGUGUUUUGUGUCUACCUCCUCUCCAAAAUCCCAACGACUGGGACUUGUGUGAAUUUUUAGAAAAUAUUUUUGCAGUUGGAACAUUUGGAAUUUUCUUUUUUUUUUUUUUGGAAAUCAGCCAUCUUUGUUUGAUUUUGUUGUUUUGUCGUCUGUGGGUGGCAUCGUGUCAUCGAUCGUGAUGAUUAAUCGUGUCAGCUUAUGGUGAUAUUUCGCAAGUGAAAAUUCCAGCAGAAGACAGAACAACUGACAUAUCUGCCCAGAACAACUUUUGGACAUUUUGAUUUUUUGAAUAUUUCGGAGCCAAUUCUUCGAUUCAGUUGAUGAACGACAAUUUCGGGAUUCGCAUUAGCACAGAGAGCGGGUCCACGAUGGCGUUGCGGCGAUGCCGAGUGGCGCUUCUGGCCGCCCUGGUCCUCUUAGCCUCGUCGUCCGUUCGAUCUCAAGAGAACGAACUCUUUCACUGCCCUGAUGGAUGGCGACUACAGGGACUCCACUGCUACAGGUUCUUCGAGGUGCAGCAUUCGUGGGAGAGGGCGGCUGAUUUGUGUAAACGUUAUGGCAGUGACUUGGUCGUGGUGGAGAGCUACCAGCAAAACAACAUUUCCGAGAGGUUGGCGCAGGAGCAGCUGAACCCCGUGACGCAUCCGGACGCCGCCUUCUGGCUGGGCUUGAUGUCGCUCGACGACCUGAGUACCAAUACCCUUGAAGCCGCAUCCGGCUCCCUGGUCCAACAAUACGCCGGUUUCUGGCAAGUGGACCAACCGGAUGCGAGGAAAGGCCAAUGUGUUCGAGCUUCCACGGCCAACGCUGACCAGUCGUGGGCUUUGAGCUCUUGCGAGUCUCUACUUCCCUUCGUCUGCCGGGCAAAAGCCUGUCCUAAAAACAGUUUCCUUUGCUCGAAUGGCCGGUGCAUUAACGGCGCAUUGCGCUGCGACACGCAAGACGAUUGCGGUGACGGAUCGGAUGAGAAUGCCUGCCCGGAAGAGUGUCAUUACCACAUGGUCUCGAGUGGCGACUCGAUCGAGAGCCCCAACUACCCGGGCAAGUACCGGCCACUGGCCGACUGCAAGUGGACGCUGGAAGGGCCUGUGGGCACGUCGAUUGUUCUCCAGUUCACGGAAUUCGACACGGAGCGCACCUUCGACACGGUGCAGAUUUUGGCGGGCGGACGGACUGAGGACUCUUCCGUCACUUUGGCCACUCUGUCCGGCAAGCAGAACAUCAGCACGCAAUUUUUCACUUCGGCUUCCAACUUUAUGAUCGUCCGCUUCCGUUCGGAUGCGACGGUGGAGAAGAACGGCUUCAGAGCCUCGUGGAAAACGGAGCCCGUCUCUUGCGGCGAACACCUCAAAGCCCUGCCACAAGGCAAGGAACUCACUUCGCCCGGCUACCCGCAAGCUUAUCCAGGUGGCCUCGAGUGCCUCUACGUCAUUUCUGCCCCGCUGGGCAAAGUUGUCACGCUCGUCAUCGAAGAUUUUGAGAUGGAACCCCACAAGGAUUACGUUCUCAUCCGCAACGGACCCGAAUCGGACUCUGAGAAGCUGGCCAUGUUGACGGGCCGGUCGGACGAACUGCCCACCUAUCUCCAGUCGACGACCGAGGCCAUGUACCUGUACAUCCACACGGAUUUGAGCGAUUCUCGCAAGGGAUUCCGCUUCCGCUACUCGGUCGGCUGCGACCUGUCGCUGGAGGCGGCCAACGGAACCCUCGUCUCGCCCGGCUACGACAUGGAAACCAUCGACUUCCGUUAUCCCAACAACCUGGAGUGCGACUACCGUCUGCGAGCCCCCGGCGGAUCGCCUUUGUCGCUCCGCUUUGCCGAAUUCCAGGUGGACGACACUGACAGCGUCCAGCUCUACGACGGCAGCAGCAGCAACGGCAUCGCCCUCUCUCCGGCCGAAGGAUUCCGUGGCAAGACGGAGCCCAAGGGCGCCACCUUUUCCGCCCACAGCGGCGACUUGCUCAUCCGCUUCAAGUCAGACGCUCUGAGAAACGACCGCGGAUGGAAGAUCAUGUUCUCGGCUGAUUGCGCGGAAUUACUGCUGGACGAGAACGCCAUCAUGUCCAGCAAGCAACGCAUUUUCGGCAGUAAUGUCACCAUCACCUGUCCGCCCGGCAUGGAAUUCGCCACCGGCGUCAAGAAGAUAAUGACCGAGUGCUUGAACGGUGGACGCUGGUCUACGCCUUACAUCCCCAAAUGCCAGGCCGUCUAUUGCGGUCCGGUGCCUCAGAUCGACAACGGAUUCGCCAUUGCGGCCACCAACGUGACGUUUGGCGGCGAGGCCCAGUACCAGUGCUACGCUGGAUUCGGCUUUCCUUCCGGCCAGGCCAUUGAAACGAUCCGGUGUACGGGAGACGGGCAAUGGGACAUGGUUCCGCAGUGCUCGGCCUCUCAGUGCACUCCGCUGCCGGAAGUGGCCCACGCCAACGCCACCAACCUCAACGGCGGUGGAAUGAACUACGGCUCGGUCAUCCGCUUCGAGUGCGAGCCCGGCUACGUCCGCACCGGAGAUCCGGUACUCCUGUGCCAGAGCAACGGCACUUGGUCCGGCGCCGUUCCUUCCUGCUCCAAGAUCCAGUGCCGCACCUUCCCGGAGAUCGACAACGGAUGGGUCAGCAACCGGACGCGGACCUAUUUCUUCGGCGAUGAGACCCGCGCCCAGUGCUACCGCGGCUACAAACUCAACGGCACCACCGUCAUCCGCUGCGGAGCCGACGGCAAAUUUGCCAACGUCCCCACCUGUUUGGACGUGGACGAAUGUGGCGGAUCCGGCGGAAGCACAUCCUCCUCCUCGCCUUGCGAUCAAGCCUCGGCCACCUGCACCAACGUUCCGGGCUCUUUCCAGUGCGGAUGCCGAUCCGGAUUCAUUCCCAACUUGGACUGCCGACCUGUUGUCGACCUCGGCCUGGGCAACGGAGGCGUUCCCAAUCCAUCCAUUUCCGUCUCGUCGGCCGAAAAGGGAUUCCCCAAGGAGAAUGUCCGUCUGAGCACCAAAGGCGGAUGGUGUGGAGCCGAAAGCGGUUCCGGCAGCAAUUGGGUCAUGAUUGACUUUAAGGCGCCGACCGUCCUGCGCGGAUUCCGCACCCAGCCGGUCCUCCGCGGCUCCAGCGGCGUCGCUUUCGCUUCAUCCAUUCGACUCCAGUACGCCGAUGACGCCGACGACCUCUUCCGCGAAUACAAGAGCCCCGAAGGAGCCCCGGUCGAGUUCCGCAUUCCGGAAGGCACCAGCAUCGCCGUGGUGAACUUGCCGACGGCCAUUGAAGCCCGCUACUUCCGCCUUGUCAUUCAAGACUACUCUGUGGCUCCGUGCCUCCGCAUGGAAAUGAUGGGCUGCACCCGGACCGAGUGCCUGGACGUUGACGAAUGCGCCGUCGCCAACGGCAGCUGCCAGCAGAAAUGCAUCAACAAUCCGGGCGGAUUCGCUUGCUCUUGCAGUCAGGGAUACGACCUCUACACCCAAAACGGAACGGCCGGUUUCCACAUCCUGGAUUCCGAGACUGGACUGCGCGACGGCGAUCUCUACCGAAUCAACAAAACUUGCGUCAAGAAAAUGUGUCCGGCCGUCAAGAGUCCAGAAAACGGACACAUGCUCACCACUCGGGCCAGCCACCAUUUCGGCGACGAAGUCAACUUCCAUUGCCGGAUCGGCUACAUCAUGGUCGGCGCCAGCAGCAUCCAGUGCACGGCAGCCGGAACUUGGAAUGCCUCGGUUCCCGAAUGCCAGCCGGCCCAGUGCGUCUCGCUGGCCGACGACCAAUCGGAAGGUUUGACUGUGGCUCGAUCCAGCCCGGCUGAUAAUCAACUCGUUCCCUACGGCCAGAACAUCACCCUGUCGUGUAACGAGCCUGGGCGCCCGCUUGUUCGAACCCCGACCUCCUCCUUCCGCCAGUGCGUCUACGAUCCGAGAGCUGGAUUCCCGCAGUACUGGUUUUCCGGUGCCCAGCCCAGCUGCCCGCGUAUCGAUUGCGGUAAACCAUCAGAGACACCUGGCGCCGAAUACGGAUUCUUCCCGGACACUCGCUACAAGUCCAGCUUCUUCUUCGGAUGCCAGCCGACGUUCACUUUGACUGGGCAAUCAUCUCGCAACGACAAUGUCGUCCGUUGCAUGGAGAACGGCGUCUGGGACUUUGGCGAUCUGCGCUGCGAGGGUCCCGUCUGCGAAGAUCCUGGCCGUCCGGCUGACGGCAUUCAACUGGCCACCAGCUACGAGCAGGGAGCCGAAAUUUCGUUCCAGUGCACCCGACCCGGAUACAUCCCCAUCACGUCGGCGCCGAUCCAGUGCGUCCGCGAACCGGAAUGCAGCGUCGUCAGACCGAUCGGCAUCACUUCCGGUCGUAUUCCGGACGGCAGCUUCAACGCCACAUCGGAGAGGCGCAACUACGAAGCCAGAAAGGCCCGCAUGAACUCGGCCACCGGAUGGUGUGCCCAGCAGGAGGAAGCUUUCACUUACGUCAGCGUCGACUUGGGAACGGUCCACCGCGUCAAGGCCAUCCUGGUCAAGGGCGUCGUCACCAACGACGUCGUCGGCCGUCCCACUGAAAUCCGCUUCUUUUACAAACAGGAUCCGUCUGAGAAUUUCGUCGUCUACUUCCCCAAUUUCAAUUUGACUUCCCGCGAUCCAGGCAACUACGGCGAGCUGGCCAUGAUCACCCUGCCUCUGGCUGUCCAGGCCCGUUUCGUCAUCCUGGGCAUUGUGGCCUACGACAAGAAUCCCUGUCUCAAAUUUGAACUGAUGGGCUGCCCCGAUGAGCCGGAAGAGGACCGACUACUCGGCUACGACCUGGGCUACCCCGUCUGCGUCGACAACGAUCCGCCUCAGUUCCUCAACUGCCCGAAUUCGGCCAUCCGCGUCAAGAGGUCGGCCGAAGGGAUGGGCGUGGUGGAUUUCGUGGUGCCGACGGCCUCCGACAACAGCGGCAUGAUCGCCCGAACGGAAGUCCGUCCGGAAGGAUUCCGCCCGCCUCUGACCGUCUUCCAGGACACGAUGGUCGAAUAUUUUGCCUACGAUUUCGACGGCAACGUGGCCAUCUGUCAGAUCAACAUCACCGUCAUCGACGAGGAGCCGCCUCUGCUCCAGUGCCCGCAGAGUUUCGUCAUCGAACUGGUCGAACCUCAGGAAUCCUACCAGGUGUUUUUCAACGAAACCCGCCGUCGCGUCGUCGUUUCGGACGCUUCCGGACAAGAUGUGGCCGUCACUUUCAUCCCGGAGAGCGCCUUCAUCCGUGUCGGCAGCUAUGAGAAUGUCACUGUUGUGGCCACCGAUCCUUCCGGCAAUCAGCAAAAGUGCUACUUCCAGGUGUCCGUCCAGCCGACUCAGUGCGUUGACUGGGAACUGAAAGCCCCCGCCAACGGAGCCAUCAAUUGCCUACCACCCAGCAACCGGCCGGCCGGAAGCGGCGGUCUUGAGUGUGUCGCCACCUGCAAUCCGGGAUUCCGUUUCACCGACGGCGAGCCCGUCAAGUCUUUCCGUUGCGACGUCAAACAGCCGUGGACUCCUGGACAUGUGGUGCCCGACUGCGUCACCGAAGAGACUCAACAGGCUAUGUACAACGUUGUGGCCAAAGUUUUGUACAGAGCUGGAGCGGCUACUGCGGCCAUUCCGGCCACUUGUCUCUCGCAAUACACCACUGUCGUCCGGCCGUUCUACCAAGCGCUGGAUCGCGCCCUAUCGGCCCGCUGCUCGGCCAUCAGCGUCGACAUGAACGUCACCUUUGUCGAAACGCAAACUGAGAUGCACUUGGUUGAGGACAACAUUGCCGAAAUCACUUACGUCCUGUCCAUCAUGCCCGCUGUCCGUCAACCCCAACUCUACGACCUGUGCGGAUCGACUUUGGGCCUCGUUUUUGACCUUUCCGUCCCGUCGACCAGCGCCGUUUUGGCCCCACUUCUCGAUUUGGCCGCCACCUCCAACGCUGAAUGCCCACCCAUGAAGGCCGUCAACUCCUCACUGAGCCGAGGAUUUGCCUGCGGCGUCGGCGAGGUCCUCAACAUGCCGGCCGCUGCCAACGUUCCCCGCUGCCUCCAUUGCCCGGCUGGCACCUCUGCUCUCAGUGGCGCCAAGAGCUGCGCCCUGUGCCCGCGCGGAUUCUACCAAGACCAGGAACAGUCGGGAUCUUGCAAACGCUGCCCAGCUGGAACGUUCACCCGCUCCGAAGGCUCCAAGACUGUCGACGAAUGUGUUCCGGUUUGCGGAUUUGGAACGUACUCCCCGACCGGAUUGGUCCCUUGUCUGGAAUGCCCGCGCGACAGCUUCACCGGCACUCCACCACCUGGCGGAUUCACCGAUUGCCAGGCCUGUCCGGCCGAUGCUCCAUUCACCCACCAGCCGGCCGCUCCUUCGGUUGCCACUUGCCGACCCAAAUGCGCAGCAGGAACUUACUCGGUCACCGGACUGGCUCCUUGCGCCGCCUGCCCCAAUCACUUUUUCCAACCGAUGGAAGGCAAAAUGUCGUGCGUGGAAUGUCCAGGCUCGGCUAUGACGGUCGGCACGGGAGCCAAGAGUCGCGACGAGUGCCAGCCGCUGGCUUGCAAGGAAGGAUUCUGCCGGAACGGCGGAUUGUGUCUAGCUCAAACUCACAUGGCCUAUUGCUACUGUCCUUCCGGAUUCAGCGGACGCUUUUGCGAAGUCAACAUCGACGACUGCGCCUCCCAGCCGUGCUACAAUGGCGGAACGUGUCGCGAUCAAGAGCAAGGCUACCUCUGCUCCUGCCCGCCAGGCUAUUCCGGCCUCCAGUGUCAAGACGAAGAGUCGAGUUGCAACGCCACCACCUGUAACGACCGCUCCAUGUGUAAGAACGAGCCUGGACAGGGUCAGUUCACUUGUCUCUGCCGGACGGGCUACACCGGGCCCAACUGCAGCAGCACCUUGGAUCCGUGCGCCGAAAAUCCUUGCUCCAACUCUGCCCAGUGCAUUCCGCUCAAACAGGGCCGCUUCAAGUGCGCCUGUCCGGCUGGAUGGGAGGGCCCCCUCUGCGACCAAAAUGUGGACGACUGCGCCGAAUCGCCUUGCUUGCUGGGCAGCAACUGUACGGAUCUCGUUGACGAUUUCAGUUGCUCCUGCCCCACCGGCUUUACCGGCAAACGUUGCGAAACUAAAGUUGAUCUUUGCCAGCCGUCGCCCUGCGGCGAUCACGGCCAAUGCGUCGAUCGCUACUUUAACGCCCUGUGCAUCUGCCAACCGGGCUGGACCGGUCCCAACUGCACUGCCCAGGUGGAUGAAUGCUCUUCCAACCCGUGUUUCAACGGAGGUCAAUGCCAGGAUGUUGAAGGCGAUUACCAAUGCCUUUGCCCACUGGGUUUCACUGGGAAAAACUGCCAACACAAUGUCGACUACUGCGGAGUCCAGCCGUGCCAGCACGGCGGCACUUGCACGGAUGCGCUCGAAAGCUUCCAGUGCCAAUGUCGGCCCGGUUUCCUUGGCGUCCAAUGUGAAAUCGACAUCGACGAGUGCCUGGACAACCCUUGCGAUCCUGUCGGCACUGAUCGCUGCCUGGACCAGAUCAACAAAUAUCACUGCCAAUGCCGGCCAGGAUUUACCGGCACCUUGUGCGAGAAUAAAAUCAACGAAUGCGCACCCGUCUCCCCUUGUCUCAAUGGCGGCGUCUGCACCGAACUGGUCAACAACUUUAAAUGCACUUGCCCAGCAGGAUGGACUGGACAGCGUUGCGAAAAGGACCUAAGCUUCUGCGAAUCCCAGCCGUGUUUGAACAACGCCAACUGCAUCAAUCUGCUUGGCGACUUCUUCUGCGCUUGCCCGUCUGGCACGGAUGGUAAACGGUGCGAAACGGCUCCCGAUCGCUGCAUCGGCGAUCCUUGCAUGAACCAGGGCCAGUGUCGCGAUUUCGGAUCAGGCCUCAACUGCACUUGCGAUAGCGACUACGUCGGCGUCGGUUGUCAACACGAAUUCGACGCUUGCUCCACUGGAGUGUGCCAGAAUGGCGCCACAUGCAUCGACAACGGGGCCAGCUACCAGUGCGUCUGUCCCGACGGCUUUUCGGGCCGCCAUUGCGAGCAAGAUGUCGUUGAAUGUGUUCCGGGCGCUUGUCCUCUGUCGGCGACAUGCAUCGACCUGAUUGACGACUUCUACUGCCGUUGCCCGUUCAAUCUGACGGGCGAGGAUUGCCGUAAGAUCGUCCAGACCGAUUACGAUUUCUUCUUUAGCGACGAGACUCGACGGGCCAGCGCAUCUUUAGUCGUGCCUUUUGUCCUUGGCUCUUCUAGCUUGACGUUAGCCCUCUGGGUUCAAUUCACCAACCGGGACGACCUGGGCAACAUUUUGACACUCUACUCUGUCGAGUCGUCGAGUACGUUACGCAACCAGCGAAUUAUGGCCCAGGUUCACAGCUCUGGUGUGCACAUUGCUCUCCUGCCGGGCAUCAAGGAUGUCUUUUUACCGUUCCGCGUCAACUUGGCCAUCAACGACGGCCAGUGGCAUCACAUUGCACUCGUCUGGGACGGCCCUCACGGCGCCAUCACUUUGACCACCGACGGCGUCAUCGUCGGCCGCGUCGAAAACUACGGAGUCAACCGAACCUUGUCUCAGUUCGGCUGGAUGACGCUGGGCGCGCCCAAUUCGGCUGGCAAAACCCGGACGGAACACGGUUUCCACGGUCACUUGACGCGAGUCCACCUGUGGGGCCGGCCUCUCGAUGUCAUCACCGACAUUCCGAAACAAGUUCGCAGCUGCCAAUCAGCGCCCAUGCUCUUUGACGGUCUCCUGCUCCAGUGGAGCGGCUACGACCGUAUCGAACGCGGAGUGGAACGCGUCAUGCCUUCGGCUUGCGGCCAGCGAGUUUGCCCGCUCGGCUUCUCUGGGCCCAGCUGCGCAUCGCUGGACAAAGACAAGAUUCCUCCUCAGGUGGUUCGUUGCCCCAGUGACAUCUGGAUCGAAACGCGCAACGGUUCGGCCCGUGUCGACUGGAACGAGCCGCAGUUUAGCGACAACAUUCGACUGGCCCAAGUGGAGGAAACGCGCGGCAUUCGCUCGGGCAACACCCUCGCCUGGGGCACUUACGACGUUGCUUACGUGGCCUACGACGAAGCUGGAAAUUCGGCUGUUUGCGCUUUCAAGAUUUACAUCGUCAACGAAUUUUGUCCCAAAUUGGCCGAUCCUGUUGGCGGAUCUCAGCGCUGCUCCGACUGGGGACCCGGCGGCCGCUUCAAAGUCUGCUCGAUUGAAUGUAAUGCCGGCCUAGCUUUCUCCGUGCCCGUCCCCAAAUUUUACACUUGCGGAGCCGAAGGUUUCUGGCGGCCGACCGAAGAUCCUGGCGUUUCCUUCGUCUAUCCGGCCUGCAGUUCCACCAAACCGGCCCAACGCAUCGUGAAAAUCAAGCUGCAGUAUUUGAGCUCGGUGCUGUGCAACGAAGCUGGGCAAAGCGUUUUGUCAGACAAGGUGCGCCAGGCCAUUCAGAAACUGAACCGCGACUGGCGUUUCUGCAACGCCAAAGGCUCUCAAUCGGCCACCUGUAACGACCUCAAUGUUAACAUCAAAUGCCAGCGUCGUCACGGUGACCUGGGCGUCAAACGACGCCGUCAGGCCGAUGUCAACGACGACGUUUACGACCUGGAGAUCAGCUUCCCCGCCGAAAGCGACCCAGUGACCAACAUCAACACCCAAGAGAAAUCCACAAUCGAACGUCUGUUGGAGACCAUCAUUUUGGAGAAAGACGAUUUCGACGUCCGCGAUUCGCUGCCCACAACCGUGCCGGACCCAGCCACUUUGAGCAUCUCAGCUGAUUUCACUUGCCCAGUCGGCCAGGUGGUCCGUGUCUCCGAGUGCGUGGCUUGCGCUCCCGGUAACGCCUUUGACAUGGAGAAGAAAAAUUGCAAACCCUGUCGAGUGGGAACUUUCCAAGACCAAGCCGGGCAAACGCAGUGUAAGAUCUGCCCCGUCAUCGCCGGUCGUCCAGGCACAACUUUCGCGUCAGGCGCCCGCUCUGCCACGGAUUGUAAGGAACGCUGCCCGGCUGGCAAAUUCUACAGCGAAGAGACUCAACGUUGUCUCAACUGCGGUUUCGGUCAUUACCAAGCGGCCGAAGGAUCGUUUGCUUGUCGCUCUUGCCAGGCUGGUUUGACGACCCGGACGGACCAAGCCAUUUCGGCUGAUGAGUGCUCUGAAGAAUGCCCAACUGGACUGCAGUUGACGUCGUUGUCCAACAACGCCACUUGCGAGCCGUGCCCCAAGGGAACCUACCGCACCAAGGGACGCGAAAUGGCCUGCCAACCGUGCCCGGCAGGAUUCACCACCACUCGAGCCGGCUCUGCCACCGUGGAAGAGUGCUCAGAACCCAAAUGCCAACCGGGUUCGGCUCUUUCUAAGGAGAACACUUGCGUUCUUUGCCAGGUCGGCAGCUACCAACCCAAUGCCCAGCAAACCAGUUGUCUGCCUUGCCCGCCUGAUACGACGACCAAGCUGGCCGGCGCCACCCUCAAGUCAGAUUGCUCCAACCCCUGCAGUCCCGCCACCAACCAGACCAUCUGCCCCGUCAACGGCGUCUGCCUGUUCGUGGCCAGCACCAACGUGCACCGCUGCGAGUGUAAGGCCGGUUUCACGCCCGUACCUCCCGACAGUCCUACCGACUUCACUUGCAUGGACAAAUGCGACAACUUCUGCAAGAACGAUGGCAAGUGCCGUCGCGAUCGUGCCACCGGCGAACCUUACUGCCAAUGUACCGGCAGCUACACCGGACUGCAGUGCGAGGCACAGUCUAAUUUCGCCUACAUUGUUGGUGGAAGUGCUGGUUUCGUCGUGUUUUUGAUCCUUCUCGUCCUGUUGAUCUGGAUGAUUUGCGCCAGGACAUCGCGGCGUCGCGACAGCCAAGCGAAAGCAGCCGCUAACGCUGCCGUCGUGGCCGGAGAUCCUUCCGGCAGUCAGGCCAAUUUCUACUACGGAUCGCACGCGCCGUACGCCGAGUCGAUCGCUCCGUCACAUCAUUCCACUUAUGCGCACUAUUACGACGAAGAGGAAGAUGGUUGGGAGAUGCCCAAUUUUUACAACGAAACCUACAUGAAAGGUAGCAGAGAAUCUGCACAACGUGAACAAGGGGAACAGUCUAGCACGCUCCAACGCCAGCUUAUAUGGUAACAAGGAAGAGCUCUAUGACCGUCUAAGACGACAUGCCUAUCAGGGAAAGAAAGAGAAAAAUGGCAAUGAGACGACUAGCGAGAGUGAUGGACAUUAGGUUCUUUUCUACCACAAAACAACAAAACGUUAAAAAAAAACUACAGAAAAAAAUGUCGGUUCUUUGUGUUAUUUGGUUUCAUGUAGGAAUUCAAGUCUCCUCUUUCUUCUGGACUUUGAAUUGUCGAUUCCCCAAUGUGGUCGAAAGGGUCAUCGCCAAAAUUUCAUUCGGAAGGGUUUUAUUUGGGUGUUUUUUUUUAAAAGAACUCGUUUUAUUUUUUAUUUUUCAUUUUCUUUUCAAAUUGUGUUUGUAAUAACGUCAUACAGUUAAAAAAAAAUCAUUAUGACGUGGUUCUGGCGUCCGAGGAUGGAACGCCGUGAAUUUCUAGCCAACCGAACGAGGGAGACGGCUGAGUGGACGCGAGAACGAUUUCUUUGUAGACCGACUUUUUCCCGUGUUGUUUGACAAUUAUUUGCUCUUUUAUUGGGGAUUCUAAUUUAUGACUGAAACGUACGCUUUAAUUACAUUUCUGUCUGUCAUUAUUUCCAAUUCUAAUGAAGUGUGUUAUAUCAUCAACCAAACAUUUUUUAAAAUCUUCCGUGUAUUUUCUGCUGGGCGACUGCGGUUCGCACUUUUUAGUGAUGUGUGUAAUUUUGUGCAACGCAUUCUUGCGUGAAUUGUGUUUGAUUUGAAUCAUCAAUAUAUAUAUAAAUCCAUAAACGUAA
rnacentral:misc_RNA from 1 species